AGUUGUUCUGCCAAGGGCAUGGCUGGUUGGCUACGUUCGGAGGGAUAACCGCUGAAAGCAUCUAAGCGGGAAGCCUGCUUCGAGAUGAGUAUUCCCACCUCCUUGAGAGGGUAAGGCUCCCAGUAGACGACUGGGUUGAUAGGCCGGAUAUGGAAGCCCUGUAAGGGGUGGAGUUGACCGGUACUAAUAGGCCGAGGGCUUGUCCUC
rnacentral:rRNA from 1 species